rnacentral:pre_miRNA from 1 species
UUGGUUUGUCUAAAGUCAAACUUGUACAAUUUUGACCAAGUUUAUAAAAAAUAUAACAAUAUCUAUAUUAACAAAUAUAUGCAUUAUUAAAAUACAUUUCAUGGCGGAUUCAAUGAAACAAAUUUGAUAUUGUAGAUGUUAUUAUACUUUCUAUAAACUUGAUCAAAGUUGAAUAAGUUUGGCUUAGGAGAAACCAAA